GAGUUUGAUCAUGGCUCAGAUUGAACGCUGGCGGCAUGCCUUACACAUGCAAGUCGAGCGGCAGCGCGGGGGCAACCCUGGCGGCGAGCGGCGAACGGGUGAGUAAUACAUCAGAACGUGUCCAGUAGUGGGGGAUAACCAGUCGAAAGAUUGGCUAAUACCGCAUACGAUCUACGGAUGAAAGCGGGGGACCGCAAGGCCUCGCGCUAUUGGAGCGGCCGAUGUCGGAUUAGCUAGUUGGCGGGGUAAAAGCCCACCAAGGCGACGAUCCGUAGCUGGUCUGAGAGGACGAUCAGCCACACUGGAACUGAGACACGGUCCAGACUCCUACGGGAGGCAGCAGUGGGGAAUUUUGGGACAAUGGGGGCAACCCUGAUCCAGCCAUGCCGCGUGAGUGAAG
rnacentral:rRNA from 1 species